AUGAACAGUUUUUAUAAGUUGGCAAAUGUGCAUUUGGCGCAAAAGGGAAGACAAAGGUUACAUAAGAAACCAUUUAUUCAAUUAAGUCUGCUUGUUUUAUCUUUUUAGAUGAAAUGAAAGCAGAAGUUUCAACGUUGAAGGAAGAACUGGCAGAAAUGAAGGAAAAAAAUUCUGAAUGCGCCGAGAAAACGAGUUCAUAUCACAAUAAAGGGCCACGAUUCUUAUUACCCAAUGGUCAAACUCCAGUGGCGUUCCACACACAUCUUUCUACGAAUUUUAACGUCAGUUCUAAUCAUUCAGUCGCCUACGAUGUUGUCAAAGUAAACGUUGGAGAUGGUUACAACAGAUUCAGUGGUAUAUUCAAAGCACCAGCAGCGGGAUUGUAUUUUAUCACCAAUACAGUAAUGUCAAUGCCUAAUCAUGGAAUCCAUGUUGAGAUUGUUAAAAAUGGAGUAGCCAUUGGCCAGAACUGGGCCGAUCGUAACGGGUUCGAAAGCGGAACCAUGUCAGUUAUUACUGAUCUGGACGUGAACGACAGUGUUUGGGUGAGAGAUUCGGACGGAGGAACAGAACGGUUAGAGCAUGAUUACAACAGCUUUUCUGGUUUUCUGAUUUAUACGGAAUAUUAGAGAAUGAAUUUCAAAAUAAAUCCGUCAUGUAAUGUA